rnacentral:rRNA from 1 species
GACGAACGCUGGCGGCGUGCCUAAUACAUGCAAGUAGAACGCUGAAGCGAGGAGCUUACUCUUCUUGGAUGAGUUGCGAACGGGUGAGUAACGCGUAGGUAACCUGCCUUGUAUCGGGGGAUAACUAUUGGAAACGAUAGCUAAUACCGCAUAACAAUGGAUGACACAUGUCAUUUAUUUGAAAGGGGCAAUUGCUCCACUACAAGAUGGACCUGCGUUGUAUUAGCUAGUAGGUGAGGUAAUGGCUCACCUAGGCGACGAUACAUAGCCGACCUGAGAGGGUGAUCGGCCACACUGGGAAUGAGACACGGCCCAGAAUCCUAAGGGAGGCAGCAGUAGGGAAUCUUCGGAAAUGGGGGCAACCCUGACCGAGCAAAGCCGCGGGAGUGAAGAAGGGUUUCGGAUCGUAAAGCUCUGUUGUAAGUCAAGAACGGGUGUGAGAGUGGAAAGUUCACACUGUGACGGUAGCUUACCAGAAAGGGACGGCUAACUACGUG